UACGAAGGGGGCUAGCGUUGCUCGGAAUCACUGGGCGUAAAGCGCACGUAGGCCGAUUGUUAAGUCAGGGGUGAAAUCCCGGGGCUCAACCUCGGAACUGCCUUUGAUACUGCGGGUCUUGAGUCCGAUAGAGGUGGGUGGAAUUCCUAGUGUAGAGGUGAAAUUCGUAGAUAUUAGGAAGAACACCGGUGGCGAAGGCGGCCCACUGGAUCGGUACUGACGCUGAGGUGCGAAAGCGUGGGGAGCAAACAGG
rnacentral:rRNA from 1 species